AAUAAUUGAUUUUUGAUCGAAAAUGUUGGGACUCUUUUUGUACAUCCCCAAGAUUUGAGGUACCAUGUCACUUCCUAUCUCGCUCCUAAUUUAUUAUGCUAUUGCAUAACUCGUCGAUGAUUGCGACUUAUAAGAAAAAUAAAAAAAAUCUUUUAUGAUAGCAAGAACAAUCUUUUGUUUGACUCAUGCAUUCAUGCCCAAAAACAAAAUUUUGUGGUCGACCAUAUUUUU
rnacentral:lncRNA from 1 species